UAGGGAAUCUUCCGCAAUGGGCGAAAGCUUGACGGAGCAACGCCGCGUGAGUGAUGAAGGUCUUCGGAUCGUAAAACUCUGUUAUUAGGGAAGAACAAAUGUGUAAGUAACUAUGCACGUCUUGACGGUUCCUAAUCAGAAAGCCACGGCUAACUACGUGCCAGCAGCCGCGGUAAUACGUAGGUGGCAAGCGUUAUCCGGAAUUAUUGGGCGUAAAGCGCGCGUAGGCGGUUUUUUAAGUCUGAUGUGAAAGCCCACGGCUCAACCGUGGAGGGUCAUUGGAAACUGGAAAACUUGAGUGCAGAAGAGGAAAGUGGAAUUCCAUGUGUAGCGGUGAAAUGCGCAGAGAUAUGGAGGAACACCAGUGGCGAAGGCGACUUUCUGGUCUGUAACUGACGCUGAUGUGCGAAAGCGUGGGGAUCAAACAGG
rnacentral:rRNA from 1 species